rfam:Equus caballus chromosome 5, whole genome shotgun sequence.
CCAAAGGCUCUUUUCAGAGCCACUUAAGUUACUUGAGAAAGCAG